AUGUACAUGCCUACAACGUUAACGCACCAGAUUCCAUCAAAACAUUGUAGUUAAGUGUUCUUGAGAUAGAGUAGUAUUGGGAUGGGUGGCCUCUUGUGAAGUCCUAGUGUUUUACAUG
rfam:Picea glauca, whole genome shotgun sequence.